UUUAUCACCUACUACCCAUUUAUUUCCCAUGACCGUACUCUUCAGGUCAUUUGACCACGAAUUACAAAACAACACAUUCUUUUGAAUGUCCUGUCACUGCAUACAUUUUGCAUAUUUUGUGCACAAUCGACUGUUUCUCUGCAGGAUUUCCAUCCUAGUAAUUUGUGUCGACUCCUCCACAGAUAUAUCCUGGAAUAUAUCAUCAUCUCCUUUUUUUCUCAUCCUUUAAUGCGAGUGUGGCCUCUACAAAUGGCAAGAGUUUGGAACAUGAGUCCUGGCCAGCGAAGAGAACAUGGAGUGUCAUCCGGAAGAAAACGGCUUGACGCGAGCCAAGAAUGUUGGGUGUCUCUUUCAAAGUGCCAUAAUGAGACGUUUUCCCUGCUUGUAUUGUGACACCGGCCAGGUACCGCAAACAAUCAAUAUGUCAGGAUGGGGCACUUCCUGCCUUUGCCCCAAAAGUGAGUGGCAACUACCUAAAUGAGACAAGAGUUGAGUGAAACUGCUGCUGGCGAUGCAGGCAGCCCCACUAAUUCGGCGUCUGGGCUGGACCACCACAUCAUACGGUAACGUAGAGACGCACACACACAAGCUGAAGUGCAUGAAAACGUCUCCCAUGCGGCAACCCCCAGCGGCCCCUCGUUAUCUGGCAAAGGUGCCGAGAGUUCUUUGUUGGCUUCAACAAUACAAACAGGCACUUCAAAAGGCGGCUUUACAGGUGUCACCUCUCCCCACGUUUCAUUCAGAUGGCGUUGAAGGCAGGCGGCGGGCUUCGCACCUCAAAGCUUGCCUAAAUAGGCCUUCGUGACCACGCCACCUUUUGACACUGACUGGCGAGGCCACAAAAUAAAAAUUGCUUCUUUAAUAGUUUCUCUCUAGGCUUAAACAUAUUUUUGAUUUAGCUGGCAGUUGACAUAAUGCUAACAAUUUGUUCAUCCUUGGUGGCGCCAUGCUUGGUGUGGAUGACCUCAGCGUGGGAGGUCAGUCCAAUUUCUUCUUUAUCAAAUACUAUUCAAUGGUAUUUCAGAAAUGGUUUCUUCCUGUGCAGAGUUUGCAUGUUCUCCCCAUGCCUUGGUCGGUUUUCUCCGCUUUCCUCCCACAUUCCAAUGACAUGCGCACAGUUAUCCGUCGAUCUCUGUGUAUCUAUUUUCCAUUUUGUCUGACAUUUUCCUCUUCUUUAUUCCGUUGUUUCGACAUCUACGUGACAUGGGUUGUCCUCACCUUGAAACGUUUGCUGUUGUCAGUGAUGAAUGUCCGAGUGAAACCCCCCCGCGUUCCCCCCAUAAAAUAAAAAGUAAAGGGCUCAGUGAUUGCAAUUAAGUCCUUUGUGUUGCUUUUAUAUGGUUAUUGGCUGCUCCCGCUCUCAGUUUGGCCGUGUCAAAGUUCUCACAGUCGGGAGGACAUGAUUCGUCCUCUGGCAACUAUCUGCUAACAAUGUCCGUCUCACGUGGGUGACAAAGGCCUCUGGAGGCUCUGCGUUGGCCGCCAGCAUGCUGGCCGCCCGCCCGCCCAGCUUUCUGUCCAUCUUGACUGCCGUUUCAUGUUUUUCCUUUCGGACUUGUUUGUGUCCCCAUUCACUUGGCGUCAACUCUGUCAAUCAGCUGUCACCUACUUCAAGGUUCAUCAAUGCAAAAAAAAAAAUUGCAUGUUUGUAACCUGAGUUAAACAGAACAACACAUAUGUGUUUUUGUUUUGUUGUAUUCUCCUCGCUCAUUCACCUGCUUGGUUGUUUGUGCGCUAGCUGGGCAUGAAUGAAAAGCACAAUAUGACUUUUUGAAUGGAGUGUGUGCGCUAAUGUGGUUCAGUAGGAAUGCGAUGAGGCCUCUGGUGGUGACAUUGUCGCAGGACUCUAAAACCGCUAUAUGGGGUCUGCAGGCUGAGCUGGACCACUUGUGGACUCCAUUCAGUACUUAGGACCUCUAAUCUUUCUCAACUCUCUUUUUUUUUUCUUUGUAUGGCAUCUCAAAAAAUAAAAGAUGCAUUCUGUUGAGUCUCAAAGGACUUAAAGGAUGAGUUCAUCUCCUUUUACUGUAAAAUGUUCAAAUCAGACGACAAAAAGUUUUUUGUGAAUAUGGUUU